GCUCUUGUCGUUUAAUUGAUAGGACAAUUUCUUUUCAUGAAAUAAAUAGGAAUUAAAAUUUCCUCAAGGGUA